GGAAGGAUGGCUGAGUGGUUUAAAGCGGCGGAUUGCUAAUCCGUUGUAUGUUUUCUUACAUACCGGGGGUUCGAAUCCCCCUCUUUCCG
rnacentral:tRNA from 1 species